rnacentral:lncRNA from 1 species
CUUGACACUUGAAUUAGUCUGACAGUCUGCAUCUGAAAGGUGCUUUGUUUCCCAGGAGAUACCAGACACCAAAGAAUUUCAACUGUGAAAGUGUGGGUGCCCCCUGCUACUUCUAUUUGAUUUUAUUACUAACAGAAAUGCCCAUGGGUGCUGACAAUAAUUGGUAAGUUCACUACUUCAUCUUU